GACGAACGCUGGCGGCGUGCUUAACGCAUGCAAGUCGAACGGAAAGGCCCUGCUUUUGUGGGGUGCUCGAGUGGCGAACGGGUGAGUAACACGUGAGUAACCUGCCCUUGACUUUGGGAUAACUUCAGGAAACUGGGGCUAAUACCGGAUAGGAGCUCCUGCUGCAUGGUGGGGGUUGGAAAGUUUCGGCGGUUGGGGAUGGACUCGCGGCUAAUCAGCUUGUUGGUGGGGUAGUGGCUUACCAAGGCUUUGACGGGUAGCCGGCCUGAGAGGGUGACCGGCCACAUUGGGACUGAGAUACGGCCCAGACUCCUACGGGAGGCAGCAGUGGGGAAUAUUGCACAAUGGGCGGAAGCCUGAUGCAGCAACGCCGCGUGCGGGAUGACGGCCUUCGGGUUGUAAACCGCUUUCGCCUGUGACGAAGCGUGAGUGACGGUAAUGGGUAAAGAAGCACCGGCUAACUACGUG
rnacentral:rRNA from 1 species